GACGAACGCUGGCGGCGUGCUUAACACAUGCAAGUCGAACGGAAAGGCCCUGCUUUUGUGGGGUACUCGAGUGGCGAACGGGUGAGUAACACGUGAGUAACCUGCCCUUGACUUUGGGAUAACUUCAGGAAACUGGGGCUAAUACCGGAUAGGAGCUCCUGCUGCAUGGUGGGGGUUGGAAAGUUUCGGCAGUUGGGGAUGGACUCGCGGCUUAUCAGCUUGUUGGUGGGGUAGUGGCUUACCAAGGCUUUGACGGGUAGCCGGCCUGAGAGGGUGACCGGCCACAUUGGGACUGAGAUACGGCCCAGACUCCUACGGGAGGCAGCAGUGGGGAAUAUUGCACAAUGGGCGGAAGCCUGAUGCAGCAACGCCGCGUGCGGGAUGACGACCUUCGGGUUGUAAACCGCUUUCGCCUGUGACGAAGCGUGAGUGACGGUAAUGGGUAAAGAAGCACCGGCUAACUACGUG
rnacentral:rRNA from 1 species